CUAGCGGCAGGCCUAAUACAUGCAAGUCGAACGGUAAGGUCUCUUCGGAGAUACACGAGUGGCGCACGGGUGAGUAACGCGUAUGCAACCUACCUAUAACUGGGGAAUAGCCCGGAGAAAUCCGGAUUAAUACCCCAUAAUGUUUCUGAGAGGCAUCUCUCGGUUCCUAAAACUCCGGUGGUUAAAGAUGGGCAUGCGUGGCAUUAGAUAGUUGGUGAGGUAACGGCUCACCAAGUCAGCGAUGCCUAGGGGGUCUGAGAGGAUGGUCCCCCACACUGGUACUGAGACACGGACCAGACUCCUACGGGAGGCAGCAGUGAGGAAUAUUGGGCAAUGGACGCAAGUCUGACCCAGCCAUGCCGCGUGCAGGAUGACGGCCCUAUGGGUUGUAAACUGCUUUUUUACGGGAAGAAUAGGCACUACGUGUAGUGAUUUGACGGUACCGUACGAAUAAGCACCGGCUAACUCCGUGCCAGCAGCCGCGGUAAUACGGAGGGUGCAGGCGUUAUCCGGAUUUAUUGGGUUUAAAGGGUGCGUAGGCGGGCUAAUAAGUCAGUGGUGAAAUCUCAUGGCUCAACCAUGAAAUUGCCAUUGAAACUGUUAGUCUUGAGUAUAGUUGAGGUAGGCGGAAUGUGUCAUGUAGCGGUGAAAUGCUUAGAUAUGACCCAGAACUCCGAUUGCGUAGGCAGCUUACUAAACUAUUACUGACGCUGAUGCACGAAAGCGUGGGUAGCGAACAGGAUUAGAUACCCUGGUAGUCCACGCCGUAAACGAUGAUUACUCGCUGUGUGCGAUAUAUUGUACGCGGCUGAGCGAAAGCAUUAAGUAAUCCACCUGGGGAGUACGGUCGCAAGAUUGAAACUCAAAGGAAUUGACGGGGGCCCGCACAAGCGGAGGAACAUGUGGUUUAAUUCGAUGAUACGCGAGGAACCUUACCUGGGCUUAAAUGUAGAGUGCUUUUCACCGAAAGGUGAUUUUCCUUCGGGACGCUUUACAAGGUGCUGCAUGGUUGUCGUCAGCUCGUGCCGUGAGGUGUCGGGUUAAGUCCCAUAACGAGCGCAACCCCUAUCGUUAGUUGCCAUCGGGUCAUGCCGGGGACUCUAACGAGACUGCCAGUGUAAACUGUGAGGAAGGUGGGGAUGACGUCAAAUCAGCACGGCCCUUAUGCCCAGGGCUACACACGUGUUACAAUGGCCGGUACAGAGGGCAGCUACACAGCGAUGUGAUGCCAAUCCCCAAAGCCGGUCUCAGUUCGGAUCGGAGUCUGCAACUCGACUCCGUGAAGUUGGAUUCGCUAGUAAUCGUAUAUCAGCAAUGAUACGGUGAAUACGUUCCCGGGCCUUGUACACACCGCCCGUCAAGCCAUGGAAGCUGGGGGUACCUGAAGUCUGUAACCGUAAGGACCGGCCUAG
rnacentral:rRNA from 1 species